rnacentral:tRNA from 1 species
UCCCUGGUGGUCCAGUGGUGAGGACUCUGUGCUUUCAUUGCUGAGGGCACAGGUUCAGGCCCUGGUCAGGGAA